rnacentral:rRNA from 1 species
UACAGAGGUGGCAAGCGUUGUUCGGAAUUACUGGGCGUAAAGGGCGCGUAGGCGGUUCGAUAAGUCCCGUGUGAAAUCCCUCGGCUCAACUGAGGAAUGGCACGGGAAACUGACGGGCUUGAGUUCGGGAGAGGGAAGCGGAAUUCCGGGUGUAGCGGUGAAAUGCGCAGAUAUCAGGAGGAACACCGGUGGCGAAGGCGGGUCUCUGGGCAGUAACUGACGCUGAGGAGCGAAAGCGUGGGGAGCGAACAGG